rnacentral:rRNA from 1 species
CCUACGGGUGGCUGCAGUGGGGAAUAUUGGACAAUGGGGGCAACCCUGAUCCAGCCAUGCCGCGUGUGUGAAGAAGGCCCUCGGGUUGUAAAGCACUUUCAGUGAGGAAGAACGCCUGGUGGUUAAUACCCAUCAGGAAAGACAUCACGCACAGAAUAAGCACCGGCUAACUCCGUGCCAGCAGCCGCGGUAAUACGGAGGGUGCGAGCGUUAAUCGGAAUUACUGGGCGUAAAGCGCGCGUAGGUGGCUUGAUAAGCCGGUUGUGAAAGCCCCGGGCUCAACCUGGGAACGGCAUCCGGAACUGUCAAGCUAGAGUGCAGGAGAGGAAGGUAGAAUUCCCGGUGUAGCGGUGAAAUGCGUAGAGAUCGGGAGGAAUACCAGUGGCGAAGGCGGCCUUCUGGACUGACACUGACACUGAGGUGCGAAAGCGUGGGUAGCAAACAGGAUUAGAUACCCUUGUAGUC